UUUUUUUGCCCACGUACUACUCUGACCAAAAAGACCAGAGGAACAACUUUUCUAAUCUGACAGUAGUAGAAAUUUUGGAGGCGAGAUGCAAGGCAACCUCCCACCUGUUCUGUGAAGCAUGGUGAUGGUAGUGUCAUGCUGAGGGGGUGACUUUUGGAGGCUGGAGCUGAGCAAUUCAUCAACAUUAAAAGUAAAAUAUUAUUAAUCACACAUAAAUUGCUCUGGAAGUUAGACUAGGGUGAAAAUCAUUUUUUUAAUCCAGCAGUGACACCAAAAAACACACAAGGUGCUGAAAAACUGAAAUGUUGUUCAGACACAACUGAGAGAACUUUUGUCAUCCCCUAACAGUAUGACACCCUGAGGGAGAGCCAUAGGGCCCAUAUCAAAAACUGUCAAACGAGGUAUGGGCCCCAAGUACUCUUGGGGAUGGAAAAACAUGUGUAACAGAAUAGAAAAUAUGUAUUUUCUUUAUUUGAAAUUUAGAAAUGUGAGUUUUAAUUUUAGUAGCUUAUGAUACACUGUCACAUAUAUAGCAGUGUAAGCGGUGCGAGUAGCUCAUUUGACCAGUUUUGAAUGUUGUGAAAGUAAACAAAACAAGAGAGAAUUGCCUUUGGGCGCCACUGGAACUGAAGUAAAAUGCACGUCUCAAUCUUUAAAUCCUGACAAAUGAGGCCUUACUGUCUGUCUGUCCACAUAUUCAUCUUUUGUUCUCCUGCAGAGAGUUUGCAAAUGCCUGCGUUAGACCACCAGAGCAUGUGGAAUCGCUUAAGACGUGUGGGUGUGUGUGUGUGUGUGUGUAGAUCUGCGGGUGUGGCGCACCAACCCCGGCUGCGUGUUCGACUACGACCCAGCAGAGGACAACAUCAAGUCCAGGAUGAUGUCAGGUGCUGUACUCGGACAGCUUCCGCCGGCAGGUGCAGGGCAAGGCCGCCUUCGUUCUGGACACACCCGAGAUGAGCCGGGUAAUUCAAGAACAACCAGUAACACAAGAACAACCAAGUAACGCAAGAACUAGUAACUCAAGAACAACCAACAUUUCUAGAACAACAAGCAAUUCUAGAACAACCAGCAAUUCUAGAACAACCAGCAAUUCUAGAACAACCAACAAUUCUAGAACAACCAGCAAUUCUAGAACAACCAGCAAUUCUAGAACAACCAGUAAUUCUAGAACAACCAGUAACGCAAGAACAACUAGUAACUCAAGAACAACCAACAUUUCUAGAACAACAAGCAAUUCUAGAACAACCAGUAAUUCAAGAAAAACCAGUAACUGAAGAACAACCAGCUAGAGCAAGGCACCAGUUUUACUGGACCAACCAGAGGAAUUAGAAGAUCCAUGGUGGCACCCAGUAUCUGAGUGUUCCCGUCUGGUUCAUUGUCUUUAAAAUGGUACCUACGCUCUUACCAAGUUUUCUCGAAACUGAUUGUGGUUCGUGGUUCUCCUCCUGUUCUGAUUCACCCAGCCUUUCUCUGAGCAGAGCAUUUUAGUUCAUCAAAUCUAUGUUCUGCCUAAAAAGGUUCUGGAUGCCAUGACAAGCUUUCUUAUGUUGGCUAUUCAGAUGAUCCACUUCAAUCCACAAAUCCUCCCUCUCUCCAGACUGUUGAUCCAUUCUCAUCUGGGCCUUCUUCAGGUCUACCAGUAGCUCCUGGACUUUUCUCCUGAGCGAUUGUUGGACAACUUCAAAAAAACGCACUCGUUUCCGCGUAUUUGCGCUCCGUCCCAUCAAGCUCUGCACGUACCGACACGAGCUGCGCACGGAGUGCAUUGUUUCGACUUUCCAGUAUGUCAUAUUGUGCUUGCAGGUCUGGUCGCCUGCAAGCAUUUGCGCGAGGCUUGGAGCGCUCGAUCUUACAUCGGAGACAUUCAGCAAUCUGUUUCAGUUCAAGAUUUUCCUUCUCCAGCCUCCUGCGCAUCCCGUCCUCAAAAGUGUUUUCACGUAAAAUGCUGGCAAGCUCAUCACUCACAGGUGUGUCAGCUCUUUCUUCAGCCAUUUUUUUUACUCGUGUUGCUGUAAAGUCAAGAUUGUUGAUAUGUGUAAUCAAGUAUUGUUCUUCUGACAUUUAGAGCAAUCUGAUAUGUAGAGCAAAUGAGUUGGGAUUAACGGGAAAUGGAACACAGUCAUCAGUGAUGUCAUAGAGCAUGAGUGACAUCACUGGUUCAUCAAAGCCACUAGAAGUAUGUUGUGUGUGGGUGUGUAUUCUGUAUUUUAUGCAUUGUGUUUUUGGGUUUGGGGUAAAGUUUAGAUCCACGGUGUGAAUUGAACUUUGGUUAGGGUUCUGCAGUAGAAAUGAAUGGAAGUCAAUGGAAAGUCUCUGCAAAGACAGCGAGACAAAUGUGUGUGUGGGCGUGUGUGUUUACUAGCAUGGAUGUUAAUAGCCUACUUUAAAUAAAUUAAAAGUAAAAUCUCAGUAAUGGAACAUAAAAAGGCCUGAAGCCUGUGUGUGCUUUACUUGAUCUCCACACAUGCUGCAGUACAGUUUCCAAGCCGUUUUUUUUAUUUUAUUUUAUUUUUGCUUUUAUUGCUUCCUCAUUAAUUAGUCACACAUGGCAUUAACAAAAACCUUAUGGAUAAACCAAACUAUUAGGAGGGGGAAAUAACGGGGCGAUGGAAGGGAUUUGUGUUGGCUAAUGCAGCACGUUUAUCCCUUUUUUGUAAUUUAACCGCUAAGGGCUCAUGAGAACUUUUAGAUGUUUUAAGCACAAUACCAAAUUACCAUCAUUAAUAAUCUUUGCCACGACCUUGUGUGAUUUCCUAAUUAAUGAAUUUUUGCAUCUCUUUUUGUUUUAUUGGCUGAAAUAACACAAUUUUAGUAAAAAAAAAACAUAACCUUCCUACUGAACAACAGAGCUCUGUUAGAUUUAGAUGUCUGUGGCCAACAGUAAGACUCCACUAAACAGCACUGCCGUAAAUCAGCGUCAUAAAAUGCCUCAACACGGCGUGAUUGAUUGUGAGGGGCAGGAUUCUCUGAAUUGUCUCCAAGUGGGUUUAAAUUGAGGGGAGUUUGUUUGUACAAGGCUGUUUGGGAAUGGAGGAGACUGAAGGCUGGUACCCCCUGUGGAGAGCAUAGGGCAACACAAGCAUUUCUAUGAAGAGGGCAAUUAGAAAGGGGGCUGGAAACUAAAUUUUAAAAAAAGAAAAGCGCUCUGUAAUUUUAAUGAUUAUUGUAUGAAUUAAACUGAAUGCAACUGGCAGCAUCUCAAAAGACGAAGCCACGCCCUUCUCUGCGCAAAUGCAUAGGCAACAAAUGGUGGGAGAAUCUGCAGAUGAAAACGACCUCAUCCAUAAGGAACACCCAUUCUCCAACCGAGGGCAGUCAACACAGCCAGGGAUGGACUCAGCUGAGGUCUGUGUGAUCUCGCCUCGACUCGACUGAUGUCUCAGUGUCUCAGCUGAGAACUGGGUUCUUAAAGGCACAGCGCAGCUUCAGUUCAAUCCCCCCUCCCCAAAAGAACCCACAGUCAAACCUCAAAGUUGAUGCUAAUAGACAAAGAACAAUGCACGAAUGUGGAGAACAGUGACAGAUGUGUUUCCAUACUUAUGUUUUCAUUUAUUUUACUUUCUCAUGAAAAUCAGUUUUCCUCUUUCACUUCUCAGGGUCAUGAUCAAGGCUUUGGGUACACCAUACAGGAUCGAGCAUGUAAAAAAAAAAAAAAGAAAAAGUCAAAAUGGCUUCAAAUAUUAGCCUAAUAUCACCAUGAAAUGUUAAAGAAUCCAACCUUUAAUCUGAGCUCACAGAUGUUGGUGUGCAAUAAAAGUUGUUAAAAAUGUUAAAAAUUGUGUUGUAAGAUUGUUACUGCUGGCAAAAAACUAUUGGUUGCCCUAGUAAAUUGAGAAUAAGCAGUGCAGUUUUUCAUACAUAUUAUGCUUUUCUUCAUGUAAUUGACAUGUUUAGGAACUUCUAAAUGGUACUCGCCGAAUUGUUGCCUUGGGCUAUAAACAUGACGUGACGCAGAGGCCCGUUUCUUUUAGUCACUGGCCACAAAGCGAAACAAGGGCCCAUAUUUAUCUUCCCACAUCGCACGGUGAGGAGGAUGGUUAGGGAGGUAAAAAUAAGGGCUCACGAGUCCUAUCCUGGGGUCACCGUAUUUCCAUAGCAAUCACACAACGACAUCUACGUGUCAACUAGUUUGAGAGUGAUGCAACGUUUUGCCCUCACAAACUUAAAACAUGUGGAGUUCAAUAAGCUCCAUAUUGGGGGUGAACUAUGUGAAGUGGAAUCCCAACAACUCACAGCUCGGUAUUCGUGAAUUCAGUUUUUGCUGCCCAACAAAAAUAAACUAUUCUUGGAAAAUCCAGCUAUUAACAGAAUUUUUUCAUAGAGCAAAUCUAAAAUAUUUCAAAGAAGAUGCAGGCUGAGAAGUCAUAGGCAAUAUUCUACUACUACUACCAUUACUUGCAGAUGAGUAGAGUAGCCAAAGAUUGUACUCAAGUAAAAGUAGCACUACUUCAACAUAUUUGUACUCAAGUAAAAGGCAACAUCCAAAAAGUUUGUGCAGCAAGAGUAAAAAGCACUUGGUAAAAAGGCAACUCGCCAAAACUAUUACACAGUUUUGUUUAUUACACAACAAAUUUAAAUAGAGAAGUAGGACCUUAAAGUUUGACUUUUUUUAUAAGAAUAAAUGUCAGUAUGAGAUUAUGAACCUGCAAUAAAAGAAUAUUUUUAAAAUGAUUUUCUUUUCCACCUUUACCAGGGGGUGCCAGCACGUUUGCCCGGCACAGUAAAUGGUUGUCUGAGAUUUUUAUUUUAUGACAUAUUGAAUAUUUUGUUCACAUUCAGGUAAAAGCUGUUUUCAAUA